rnacentral:rRNA from 1 species
GUGUCAGCAGCCGCGGUAAUACGUAGGGUGCAAGCGUUAAUCGGAAUUACUGGGCGUAAAGCGUGCGCAGGCGGCUUUGCAAGACAGAUGUGAAAUCCCCGGGCUUAACCUGGGAACUGCAUUUGUGACUGCAUGGCUAGAGUGCGGCAGAGGGGGAUGGAAUUCCGCGUGUAGCAGUGAAAUGCGUAGAUAUGCGGAGGAACACCGAUGGCGAAGGCAAUCCCCUGGGCCUGCACUGACGCUCAUGCACGAAAGCGUGGGGAGCAAACAGGAUUAGAUACCCUAGUAGUCC